CAACAUGAGAAAACUGCACCUAUUCUUGUGGAGGGGGACGAUGGUGAUAUCGAGUUUGUGGAGUUCCCUAAGGGUGUGGUGGCAAGCAAUUAGCCGAAGAAAGAUGUGCUAAUGGUGGAUGCUAGCCUUUUGGUUUUGGUGGCAUGUU